rnacentral:rRNA from 1 species
GACGUAGGGGGCGAGCGUUGUCCGGAUUUAUUGGGCGUAAAGAGCUCGUAGGUGGUUCGGUAAGUCGGGUGUUAAACCCCCAGGCUCAACCUGGGGACGCCACUCGAUACUGCUGUGACUAGAGUCCGGUAGGGGAGCGUGGAAUUCCUGGUGUAGCGGUGAAAUGCGCAGAUAUCAGGAGGAACACCAGCGGCGAAGGCGGCGCUCUGGGCCGGUACUGACACUGAGGAGCGAAAGCGUGGGUAGCAAACAGG